GACUGAGUAGCUCAGUGGAUAGAGCAGGUUGAUUCCUAAUCACCGGGGCGUGAGUUCGAUCCUCACCUCAGUCA
rnacentral:tRNA from 1 species